CUGUUGUUAAGGAACUCGGCAAAAUGACCCCGUAACUUAGGGAUAAGGGGUGCCACCAUCAGGUGGCCGCAGAGAAUAGGCCCAAGCGACUGUUUACCAAAAACAUAGGUUUCUGCUAAGUCGCAAGACGAUGUAUAGGAGCUGACGCCUGCCCGGUGCUGGAAGGUUAAGGGAAUCUGUUAGAGCAAUCGAAGCAGUGAACUUAAGCCCCAGUAAACGGCGGCCGUAACUAUAACGGUCCUAAGGUAGCGAAAUUCCUUGUCGGGUAAGUUCCG
rnacentral:rRNA from 1 species